rnacentral:lncRNA from 1 species
CACUGAAGGAACCAGCUUCCUUUUGGCAGCCAUAACAGCCGAACACGUGCUUGCCAUAAACCUGCCUUGGUCACGUAGAGGUCAGAUGCCUGUCUUGUGACAAGGAACCAAUCGGAAGUUAGCUGGUGGCGCUAUGCUUUACGACCCUGGGUGUGCUUUACGGACAAGCGCACAGCAAUGACGUAGAGAGCAUAGCAACCGCCCUGGGAGGGCCUAUGAGCCAUAACAACCAGUUGACCAAUCAACACAGGGCAAGCCCUCCAAGCCUGGAGGCACACCAAUCAUGAGCCUGUGCGUAAGCCUGUGCGUACCCCUAGACACUCCCCUUACGCUGCCCUAUAAGAUCUUUGGGGAGACCUUAGGAGCCGUCUUUUUCUAGCCGUCUGCCAUGGCGGGUGGGUGAAAGACCCGAGCUAACAUGGGGUUAGUUCGUUAAAUUACAAUAAAGCCUCGUGCAGUUUGCAGCAAGCUCUCGAAUCCGCCUGGUGAUUGGGGUGACCGCGAACCUGGCCUGAGACCCCGGAUACUUGAGUUUUCGGGGGUCUAACAUUUUGGGGGCUCGUCCGCGAUUUGCGACCACCCUUCACCUGAGUGGAUUCGAUCUUGGAGGUUUCUGCUUCUGGCAGACAUCUGAAUAUCAGUUGCUGACUACAGACUGUUCUAAGACUGCGAGCCCUGGACUUGCUGUGAAUGUGAACCAGUUCAGCUGAUAUGGACACCCCCUGUCUCUGCAACAGUGUCUGCUAACCAGAAGCCCCUGAUGGAUUCCCCAUUGCCUAAAUUCCUUUUUGCUUUUGACUAGCAUUUCAACCUUCUGGGGUCCCUAACUUCGUCCCAAAGUCAGCAGGAAGCAGUUUAGAAAAGAAUUUCGGCGUCCAUUUUCCCUGGUUAAAAUGCUAAGUCAAAAGGAACUCCCUUGCAUGGGGAUGACAGUAUCUAUCACUCCCUGAUGGGGAUGCUAGAGAGACAGCAAUUCCAUGAUUGGAAUUUCCAGAAAAGAAAA